UACAGAGGUGGCAAGCGUUGUUCGGAAUUACUGGGCGUAAAGGGCGCGUAGGCGGCCUUCUAAGUCAGACGUGAAAUCCCCAGGCUUAACUUGGGAACUGCGUCUGAUACUGGAAGGCUUGAGUGCGGGAGAGGGAUGUGGAAUUCCAGGUGUAGCGGUGAAAUGCGUAGAUAUCUGGAGGAACACCGGUGGCGAAGGCGGCAUCCUGGACCGGCAUUGACGCUGAGGCGCGAAAGCUAGGGGAGCGAACGGG
rnacentral:rRNA from 1 species